rnacentral:rRNA from 1 species
UGGGGAAUUUUGCACAAUGGGGGAAACCCUGAUGCAGCGACGCCGCGUGAAUGAUGAAGGCCUUCGGGUUGUAAAAUUCUGUCCUUAGCGAAGAUAAUGACAGUAGCUAAGAAGCAAGCCCUGGCUAAAUACGUGCCAGCAGCCGCGGUAAUACGUAUGGGGCAAGCGUUGUCCGGAAUUAUUGGGCGUAAAGGGUACGUAGGCGGUUAUUUAAGUCCUAAUUAAAAGGCAGUGGCUCAACCAUUGUAAGGUUAGGAUACUGGAUAACUUGAGUAGAUGAGGGGAAAGUGGAAUUCCAUGUGUAGCGGUGAAAUGCGUAGAUAUAUGGAGGAACACCUGUGGCGAAGGCGACUUUCUGGAAUCUAACUGACGCUGAGGUACGAAGGCGUGGGGAGCAAACA